ensembl:miRNA ocu-mir-181d ocu-mir-181d
AACAUUCAUUGUUGUCGGUGGGUUGUGAGGACACAGGCCAGACCCACGGGCAGGUGAAUGUCAU